rnacentral:rRNA from 1 species
UACGAGGGGGGCAAGCGUUGUUCGGAUUUAUUGGGCGUAAAGGGUGCGUAGGCGGUCUGGCAAGUCUUGUGUGAAAUCUUUGGGCUCAACCCAAAGCCUGCACGAGAAACUGCCGGGCUUGAGUAUGGGAGAGGUGGAGUGGAAUUUCCGGUGAUGAGCGGUGGAAAUGACGUAGAUAUCGGAAGGAACACCUGUGGCGAAAAGCGGCUCACUGGACCAUAACUGACGCUGAGGCACGAAAGCUAGGGGAGCAAACAGG